GAUGAACGCUAGCGGCAGGCUUAAUACAUGCAAGUCGAGGGGCAGCAUGAUUGUAGCAAUACAAUUGAUGGCGACCGGCAAACGGGUGCGGAACACGUACACAACCUUCCAAUAAGUGGGGAAUAGCCCAGAGAAAUUUGGAUUAAUACCCCGUAACAUAACGAUGUGGCAUCACAUUGUUAUUAUAGAUUUUUCGCUUAUUGAUGGGUGUGCGGCUGAUUAGAUAGUUGGCGGGGUAACGGCCCACCAAGUCUACGAUCAGUAGCUGAUGUGAGAGCAUGAUCAGCCACACGGGCACUGAGACACGGGCCCGACUCCUACGGGAGGCAGCAGUAAGGAAUAUUGGACAAUGGACGCAAGUCUGAUCCAGCCAUGCCGCGUGAAGGAUUAAGGUCCUCUGGAUUGUAAACUUCUUUUAUAAGGGACGAAAUAAGACUUUUCUAAGUCGUCUGACGGUACCUUAUGAAUAAGCACCGGCUAACUCCGUGCCAGCCGCCGCAGUAAAAC
rnacentral:rRNA from 1 species